CCGGCUUGGUCUUUGACAGCACCUUGCCCGACUCCCUUCCUGCCCCCUCCCCUGCCUUCUCUCCCUCCUCCCCCCGCCUUCUCUCCUCCUCCCCCUGCCCUUCCUCUUAUGAUUUUUGAGUCCCUCUUAUGUGCUGGCUGCUCCUCUAGGGCACUGGGGAUCAGUAACAGACAAAAAGACCAAGUCCGCCAGGUGCAGUGGCUCACACCUGUAAUCCCAGCAGCGCGGGGGCCUGAGGCAGGAGGAUCACGAGUUCAAAGCCAGCCGCAGCAAAGUGAGGCGCUAAGCAACUCAGUGCGACCCUGUCUCUAAAUAAAUACAAAAUAGGACUGGGGGUGUGGCUCAGUGGUGGAGUGCCCCUGAGUUCAAUCCCUGUACCCCCCAAAGAAGAUCAAGUCCUCACUGUCCCUGCUCCCAGGAGGGGCCUGGGAGCCACAUGUAGCCAGUCCUUGGAGUCCCCCAGAGAACGGUCACACACCGAGCACUGCAGAGCUGGGACAUCCUGAUCUACUGCCCCCUCUUGGCCCCUCUGUCCAUCAUCACGGCUUUAUCACCCUGUGCCAGGUGGGGCUCCAUUUCUGUUGGCAGACUGGGCAAGACAGAGCCCCUGGGGACAGGAACCCCAGAGCCCAGGUGUCCAUGGCUGGUGUCUGUAGAGGGUGGGACAGCUAAGGAAGAGCAAGGCUCUCAGUCCUGGGGACGCUUCUGAGCUGAGACAGGCCCAUCAUGGAGGUGCUGACACCCUCUCUUGAGAUGUGGUUGUGUAGCUCAGUAGGCAGAGAGGUCCGGAGCAUGCUGGGGGUGUGUGGGGCCUACAUCCAGCACUGGAGCCCAGGAUCCUGCAUUUUAACCCCCUGCCCCCCGCUGGCCCAUCCAGCAGUUUUGUCUGAUGCAGGCCCCCAGCAUAGCCCGGCAAGCACUGAGGUGAGGAGUCGGUAUGGAUAGGUCCUAGCCUGCCCCUUAGUCCUGACUGUGACAAUGUGAGCAAAACCCCAAAGACUCUGAGACGUUGCCCAGCUGUGAGAUGAGGGUCUCCAUGGGUUCAGAGGGUGGGAGCAGCCCCAGGCCUGGACUCCGGAGCCAUUGAGAGUGUGGUGUGAGGGUGUUGUGCCCUUCCACCCAACAACCUUCCGAACCACAGAGACCGGCUGCCUCUACCUUCUCCAAAGACAAACGCCACAUGACACUGUUGGGGAUCACCAUAAAGGACAAAUGGCCACAGUCCCCUGGGCUCUCCAGCUGACUCUUGUUUCUCAGCCUGGUGUGUUCCCUUACACCCCACCACCUGCUCUCAGCAGAUACAAGGGCCCAAUCCUGCCUCAAGGCCGGGGUGUGUGUGCAGGAUGACGGCACAGAAGAAAUACAGCAGCCCCGGGAUGCACUAGGCACCCGUUCCCAAGGCCAGGAUGUUUGCACAAGGGAAAAAACAAACAUCUUUUAAAACCGUGCUCCUGGCCAAUAAAAAAUUGCCAGACUUUAGCCCACCCUGGAAAAUCAAUAACAGCUUACAUCUUCCUUUGGAGAGCAGCCUGGUUUCCCUCUCAGUCAGCACUGACUCCCUUCUGCCCAGGCCCAGGCUGAGGCCUCGCCUGGAGGGGGCUGGGAGCCAGGAGUUCCCGUCUGCGGUAGCAGGUGCCUGCCGUGGCCCAGCCCCCUCCCCUUUCCUGGACGCUGGUGUUGGCAGCAGGUCCACCCUGGCCCCUGGAGCCCAACCUCCACUAGUUUGUUCUGCAUGCCAGUGUGGCCAGCUCACAAGGCCAUGGCGAACUUGCGGUUUUUCUGUGUCCCACGGGAACGCCUUGACCUUUUCUGGUCUGGUGGACUUCCUGUUAAGGGAGGUUUCGGUAUCUGACAAUAGCAGAUGUUGAAACUAAAUUUCUCCCCCCUCCCUCCUGCUUUUGGGUAGUUUUCCACUUCUGCUGCUUGGGGCAUAAAAGGAAGUGUGUUAGCAAUAAAGUGUGUGACUCCUGGAUGAAGAACCUUGGUGUCCUGUGUGUCUUUUAACCUCGCCGUCCCUCGCCGGACUCGGCUCCCUUGGCCAGACGUGGCAUCUGGAGGUUCCCACCGAGAUCCGGAAAGCAGGGACCCUCGGGACCGAAAGCGUUUCGCCUUCUCCUUGCCUUCAACAAACUUUAGGGAACCUUACCAACGGUAUGACUGGACCGUCCUACCUCAAGGGAUGGCUAAUAGUCCUACAAUGUGCCAAUAUUUUGUGGCUGAGGUUUUAUGACCCUUCCGACAGCAGUUCCCACGGCUCUACCUCAUUCAUUAUAUGGAUGACAUCUUACUGGCAGGGCCCAAGAAAAAAAGACUUCUUCAAUCUUAUGAAGUCCUCCAAUCCCUUCUAAAAGGGGCAGGGCUGAUUAUAGCGCCCAAAAAGGUCCAGUUUCAACACCCUUACAAUUACUUGAGAUACAUCAUUAAUAACAUAGAAAUCUUUCCCCAAAAACCCCAGUUCCAGAUAAAUCAGCUCAAAACUUUACAUCAGUGACAGACAUUCCUCGGAGAAAUACAGUGGCUGCACCCGUCCUUUCAUAUUCCCACUGGAGAGCUCAAACCCCUGUAUGACCUCUUGCGAGGAGAUCCUUCUCCUACGUCGUGUAGAGUACCUACACCAGAAGCUUUACGAGCACUGAGGCUAAUAGAAGAGGCUCUACAGGACAUGCAGAUUACGCAGAUAGAUUAUUCUCUGCCCUUGUCAUUUAUAGAUCUACCCUCCAAAAUUACCCCCACGGGAGUGUUCUGGCAAACUGGUCCCAUUUAUUGGGUCCACUUGCCGGCUUCUAACCCCCGGGUACUGACUCCCUUUUAUGAGCUAGUUAUUAACUUAAUUUGGAAGACUAAAUCUUUGGGUGAUGCAUUGUUUGGAAAAACCUUUGACAUACUUAUUCAACCUUACACUCAAGAUAUGAUACACAAGUUACAACAAAAACAUGACCUUUGGUGUCUUUUCCUGUGCAGCUUCAAGGGUCAGAUUGAUAAUCACUUUCCUAAACAUAGACUUUUAGAGGGCUUUAAAAGGUGUCCCAUUAUCUUCCCAAAGAUUAUAAAAAGGGAACCUAUUCCAAAGGCCCGAACUGUAUAUACAGAUGGGGCCAAAAAUAGAUUUGCCGUCGUUUUUGAUGGAUCUCAAAUUCUCUGACAACCUGUGUCAGGUCAGUCGGCCCAAAAGGCGAAAGUUGAAGCUUUAAUCAUAGCUCUCAAAGUCUAUAGUUCUAUUCCUCUUAAUGUAUAUACUGACAGUUUGUAUGUAGCCAAUCUGACUCUAGUCAUAGAAACAGCAUCAUAUAUUGGAAAGCAAUCCACCAUCACAGAACAACUACAGGUAGUUCAGCUUCUCAUUUGGGCUAGACGAGAUCCCUUAUACGUCGGCCACAUCCGAAGCCAUUCAGGGCUCCCUGGACCUUUGUCAGAGGGCAACACAAAAGCAGACGCUGCUACUCAUGCUGUCGGCCUUUCCUGUGUGACGACCAAAUAUGAUAAGGCCUUACAAUUCCAUAACAAAUUUCAUUUAAAUACACAGUCCUUACGCUUCCACACAGGAUGUUCACGGGACCAAGUCUUGCAAAUUGUCUCAUUAUGUCCAACCUGUGCACCAUUUAUUCAUUCUCCUUCCUUUGGGAUUAAUCCAAGAGGACUACAACCUAAUGAUGUUUGGCAAACUGAUGUUACACACUUCCCUAGCUUUGGUAAGCUCUCCUUUAUACAGGUUUCCACUGACACAUAUUCUGGCUUCAUUUUUGCCACCUUACAUACUGGAGAGAAGGCUAAGGACAUAAUCAGUCAUCUUCUAAAAGCCUUUUCCUCCAUGGGCACCCCACGAUGCCUCAAAACCGAUAAUGGUCCCGCAUAUGUAAGCCAGGCGGUUCAACGGUUUUACACUCAAUGGGAAAUUAAUCAUAAGACUGGAAUCCCUUAUAAUCCACAGGGACAGGCUAUCGUGGAAUGAGCCCAUCAACAUUUAAAAACUUAUUUGCAAAAAACAAAAGAGGGGGAGAUAUACCGGAAUUGUCAGGGACCACAAGCACUUCUAAGCAUAACCCUAUUUACUUUAAAUUUUUUACUCACUGACACUGGAGGGCGCACGGCUGCACAGCGCCACUUUUCCCCUCCCACUGUACAAGAUGCCCAAAUAAGGUGGAAGGAUUUAUCCACCGGGAAGUGGCAACCCCCGGCUCCACUCUUAGCUAGAGUGAGGGGAGCUGUAUGUGUUUUUCCCCCAGGAACUGAGAAGCCCAUUUGGAUCCCGGAGCGCUGCACCAGACCAGUGAAUGAAAAUUCAAGACAAAAUAAAGUUCCCAAGAUGGCUGAUCCUGCUGCUGUUGUUCUCACCCCUUCAAGUGAGUGCCGAGACACACCUCAUGAGCUGGACCCCGCUUGUGGCAUUCCUUCUGGACAGGUUUGUUGAAGGAGGGCUUGACCCCCCACCUGGGAAUAUUCAUGAAUAUCUUUUUGGAGCCCCUUGUGAGUGUAAGGGAGGGCCCCGGCACUCGGCCCCCUCUGGUUAUACCCAGAGUGUUGAUUGUGGGACUAAAGUAGCCUACAUGGCGGCUGAACUCAAUCAAAACAUCGGAGGAUUUAAGCAACCAAAAUGGGUAUGUGUUAAUAAGCCCAGACUUGUUGUCCCUAAUCCGACCGAGACUCUUGGAAGCUGUUCCGCCACUUGUCAUUACACCCCGGCGAUGCACAUCUCCUGUUAUAUAUCGGCCUCAAUUUGUGUUAAUAAUCAAGGGAAAACAGUAUUUUGAGGCCAUCCUAACUAACACCCGUGGAGAAGGGGGGACCACUUAUAAUUUUAUUCCUUUUCUUGGUGACCGGGGAGGGGAAGGCAUCACGACUCUGUUAAAGGAGGCGGGAUGUGAGGGUGUCGUGGGUAAACCCUCCUGCUGGUCCAUGCAGGCCCCCAUUGGCGUCUCUGAUGGAGGGGGACCCACUGAUGCUAUCAAACACCUUCAGGUGAUUAAGCUUUUAAAGCCGGAGAUCCCUAAGCCUACAUACCACCCCUUGAUAUUGCCCAAAUCCCAUCUUCCUGAUUUAGAUGCCAAUACAUUAGAUAUCCUAGAAACUACCUUUUCUUUACUUAACAGUUCCAAUCCUACCCUUGCUGGUGAUUGCUGGCUCUGCAUGACGGCAGGUGCAGUCAUGCCAUUGGCAGUCCCUAUUAAUUAUACCAUUGAUGAUGACAACACAUGUCAAUCUGGGCUACCCUUUAAGGUGCAACCUCUAGGUGGUUUUAUGUCAUGCCUUCUGGGCAUGAUGCAAAAUAAUACCUAUGAUGUUGAUGUUGGAGUCUCUUCCUUUGGGAACUGCUCAUUAGUAAAGAAUUACUCCUCACCUACCCCGCCCAUUUGUCCCCCUAAUGGCACAGUCUUUAUGUGUGGUGGAAAUUUAGCUUUUCCCAGGCUCCCAGCAAAUUGGACUGGAGGUUGCGUUCUGGCAUUACUGCUUCCUGAUAUCACGAUUAUCUCAGGAGAUGAACCCCUACCCAUUCCUAGCCUAGACACUUUGGUUAAAAGACAUAAGAGAGCUGUGCAGGCCUUACCACUCCUGUUGGCCUUGGAAUAACCGCUGCUGGGGGUACAGGCACGGCAGGAUUGGGUACGGCUAUACAUUCUUACCGCCGCCUAUCUCAACAGCUUAUAGAUGAUGUACAAACCCUGUCGGGAACCAUUAAAGACUUACAAGACCAGAUAGACUCCCUAGCAGAAGUAGUUCUUCAGAACAGGCUGGGUUUAGACUUGCUUACUGCCAAUCAAGGGGGAAUUUGUUUAGCCCUUGGGGAGAGGUGCUGUUUUUAUGCUAACAAGUCUGGCAUAGUUCGCACAAAAAUUAAACAACUCCAAGAAGACCUAGAAAAAAGGAGGAGGAAAUUAUUUGAAAACCCUCUCUGAACUGGACUUAAUGGAUUUUUGCCUUAUCUUCUUCCCUUAUUGGGACCAUUGUUAGACCUCCUUCUAGUAGUGGCAAUAGGACCCUACAUUGUAAAUAAGAUAGUACAAUUCAUUAAGAAUCAAAUUAAUAUCUUAGCCUCUAAGCCGAUACAGGUUCACUAUCAACGCUUGAAGAUGAAAGAUCGCCCCUCUGAGAUAUACUUCAGACCGAUCCGAAGAUGAGUGUCCUCCUUAAAGGAAGAACUCCUGCCAUAUCUUUUCUCUAUGCAUACCUCUCCCUCUUGCCUUCCUGUACUAGGAUCUUUGCUGUCUAAUCUCUCGGUCCAAUCACAUCUGCCAUUCGGCGGUGACGGUCGUGGGUCCCGUAGGUGGAGACGGUUAAGCGUUCACUGCAAUAAUGGCCUGAUGGUCAUAACACCUUGAGCUGAUCUUGUGGUACCCAGUGACGGGCAACUUUCACGCUUGCGAUGCGACCUAAGCCAGAGAAUCGGGGGCCUUCCCAGAGACGGGUAAGCAUCGCAAGGGCUGUGAACGACCUAAGACAGGGGCUACUUGAUUCCCACUGGCAUGCAAAAAACAAAAGAGGGGGACUUGUUGGCAGCAGGUCCACCCUGGCCCCUGGAGCCCAACCUCCACUAGUUUGUUCUGCAUGCCAGUGUGGCCAGCUCACAAGGCCAUGGCGAACUUGCGGUUUUUCUGUUCCUGCUUAUCCGUCUGAGACAUAUGUGUCCCACGGGAAUGCCUUGACCUUUUCUGGUCUGAUGGACUUCCUGUUAAGGGAGCUUUCGGUAUCUGACAAUAGCAGAUGUUGAAACUAAAUUUCUCCCCCCUCCCUCCUGCUUUUGGGUAGUUUUCCACUUCUGCUGCUUGGGGCAUAAAAGGAAGUGUGUUAGCAAUAAAGUGUGUGACUCCUGGAUGAAGAA